rnacentral:piRNA from 1 species
UGAAGUUUUUAAGCCGCAAUU